rnacentral:piRNA from 1 species
UCAUAUGCACCCCAAAGGACUUUACUUAGU